rnacentral:rRNA from 1 species
GGCGAACGGGUGAGUAACACGUGGGUGAUCUGCCCUGCACUCGGGAUAAGCCUGGGAAACUGGGUCUAAUACCGGAUAGGACGAUGGUUUGGAUGCCAUUGUGGAAAGUUUUUCGGUGUGGGAUGAGCUCGCGGCCUAUCAGCUUGUUGGUGGGGUAAUGGCCUACCAAGGCGUCGACGGGUAGCCGGCCUGAGAGGGUGUACGGCCACAUUGGGACUGAGAUACGGCCCAG